rnacentral:rRNA from 1 species
GGAGUCUAGCAUGUGCGCGAGUCAUUGGGAAACGACUAAACCUAAAGGCGCAAUGAAAGUAAAGGUCAGCCUUGCGCUGGCCGAGGGGGGAUGGGCGGUCGUUUCGGCUGCCGCCCCGCACUCCCGGGGCGUCUCGUUCUCAUUGCGAGAAGAGGCGCACCAAGAGCGUACACGCUGGGACCCGAAAGAUGGUGAACUAUGCCUGGUCAGGACGAAGCCAGGGGAAACCCUGGUGGAGGUCCGUAGCGAUUCUGACGUGCAAAUCGAUCGUCGGAACUGGGUAUAGGGGCGAAAGACUAAUCGAACCAUCUAGUAGCUGGUUCCCUCCGAAGUUUCCCUCAGGAUAGCUGGCGCUCGUAGCGUACGAGUUUCAUCCGGUAAAGCGAAUGAUUAGAGGCAUUGGGGUCGAAACGGCCUCAACCUAUUCUCAAACUUUAAAUGGGUGAGAUCUCCGGCUUGCUCGAACUCUUGAAGCCGCGAGACUCGAAUCAGAGUGCCAAGUGGGCCAUUUUUGGUAAGCAGAACUGGCGCUGUGGGAUGAACCAAACGCCGAGUUAAAGCGCCUAAAUCGACGCUUAUGGGAUACCAUGAAAGGCGUUGGUAACUUAAGACAUCAGGACGGUGGCCAUGGAAGUC